rnacentral:lncRNA from 1 species
AGCAGUUGUGAGCAUCAAAUGGGAUAAUGGUUGCCGUGCGGCUGGUGCCUCACACAGGUCUCCUGCUGGCAGCUGAGUAUGGUCUCCAGGGGCAGAAAGACCAGGAACUUUCGAGCCAGAUACGGGCCUGAGAUACGGGUUGCAUAGCACGCAUCCUGCCUAUUAAUAACUGUAAGUCCUUGUGCAAGCCAUGGCCCCUCCCGGAACCUCAACACUCCAGUUGUCUCAUAGGCAAAUUGUCCUGCCUGCCUUGCUGGGUUCCAAGGUGACCCAAAGAAUUUGCGGCUGUGAAACUACUCUGCAAACCCUCAAAUGCCAUCCACUUGGAAAGUGUGCUUGUGGAGGCCACGAAGCUGUUGACAGCUGCUGUUUGGCAUUGGCUGGGAGGAAGGUCAGAGCGUCCAGUGCUCAUGCAUGUGAACUCUGGGACUUCACAUGCUGGGAACAUCAUUGGGAGACACCAGCUGACCCCCCUUGUCCCCAGGGAGCAAAUGUGCCUGGCUCACUGUCCCCGUGGACGUGAGUGAAGCAUUUACACAACACAAGCAAGGCUUCCAGAGCAUCCUAGAGCAAUGUUAACUUUUUUCAGUGCUCCGUGAAUGUCGUCUUUACACCUGUUAUCUCAUUCAUUUAACCUUCCUAGUGACUCUAGGAAACAGG